rnacentral:rRNA from 1 species
AGCGGCGGACGGGUGAGUAACGCGUGAGAAACCUGCCUUUCACAAAGGAAUAGCCUCGGGAAACUGGGAUUAAUACCUUAUGAUACCUUAACUCCACAUGGAGCCUAGGUUAAAGCGUAAAGCGGUGAAAGAUGGUCUCGCGUCCCAUUAGUUAGUUGGUGAGGUAAAGGCUCACCAAGGCGACGAUUGGUAGCCGAACUGAGAGGUUGAUCGGCCACAUUGGGACUGAGACACGGUCCAGACUCCUACGGGAGGCAGCAGUGAGGAAUAUUGGUCAAUGGGCGCUAGCCUGAACCAGCCAAGUCGCGUGAAGGACGACAGAUCUAUGGUUUGUAAACUUCUUUUGCAGGGGAGUAAAGUGCGACACGUGUGUUGUAUUGCAAGUACCCUGCGAAUAAGCAUCGGCUAACUCCGUGCCAGCAGCCGCGGUAAUACGGAGGAUGCAAGCGUUAUCCGGAUUUAUUGGGUUUAAAGGGUGCGUAGGCGGGUUAUCAAGUCAGCGGUGAAAUUUUUCGGCUUAACCGUAAAAUUGCCGUUGAAACUGGUGAUCUUGAGUGCGAGCGAGGUAGGCGGAAUGUGCCGUGUAGCGGUGAAAUGCAUAGAUAUGGCACAGAACUCCGAUUGCGCACGGCAGCUUACUAGUACGCUACUGACGCUGAUGCACGAAGGGGUGGGGAUCAAACAGGAUUAGAUACCCUGGUAGUCCACGCAGUAAACGAUGAUUACUAGCUGUUUGCGAUAUACCGUAAGCGGCCGAGCGAAAGCAUUAAGUAAUCCACCUGGGGAGUACGUUCGCAAGAAUGAAACUCAAAGGAAUUGACGGGGGCCCGCACAAGCGGAGGAACAUGUGGUUUAAUUCGAUGAUACGCGAGGAACCUUACCUGGGCUUAAAUGGGAAGUGACAGUUUUGGAAACAAAAUUUUCUUCGGACACUUUUCAAGGUGCUGCAUGGUUGUCGUCAGCUCGUGCCGUGAGGUGUCGGGUUAAGUCCCAUAACGAGCGCAACCCUCGUCGAUAGUUGCCAGCAUGUAAUGAUGGGGACUCUAUCGAGACUGCCGGUGUAAACCGUGAGGAAGGUGGGGAGGACGUCAAAUCAGCACGGCCCUUACGUCCAGGGCUACACACGUGUUACAAUGGUCGGUACAAUGGGCAGCUACUCAGCGAUGAGAUGCUAAUCUUCAAAACCGAUCUCAGUUCGGAUCGGAGUCUGCAACUCGACUCCGUGAAGCUGGAUUCGCUAGUAAUCGCAUAUCAGCCAUGAUGCGGUGAAUACGUUCCCGGGCCUCGUACACACCGCCCGUCAA